GUCUACGGCCAUGCCACCCUGAACAAGCCCGAUCCCAUCUGAUCUUGGAAACUAAGCAAGGUUGGGCCUGGUUAGUACUUGGAUAGGAGACCGCCCAGGAAGACCAGGUUCUGUAGGCG
rnacentral:rRNA from 1 species